rnacentral:rRNA from 1 species
CCCUCCCUGGGGCCGCUGCUCCCUCGGGGGUGUGCCCGCCGGCGUACCAAAACUCUUUUGUAUUUUAGUGGCCUCUCUGAGAAAACAAGCAAAUAAGUUAAAACUUUCAACAACGGAUCUCUUGGUUCUGGCAUCGAUGAAGAACGCAGCGAAAUGCGAUAAGUAAUGUGAAUUGCAGAAUUCAGUGAAUCAUCGAAUCUUUGAACGCACAUUGCGCCCGCCAGUACUCUGGCGGGCAUGCCUGUUCGAGCGUCAUUUCAACCCUCAAGCCCUGCUUGGUGUUGGGGUCCUACGGCUGCCGUAGGCCCUGAAAGCUAGUGGCGGGCUCGCUAUAACUCCGAGCGUAGUAGUAAAAUAUCUCGCUAGGGAGGUGUCGCGGGUUCCGGCCGUGAAAGCCCAUCUU